rnacentral:rRNA from 1 species
AGCAGCCGCGGUAAUUCCAGCUCCAAUAGCGUAUAUUAAAGUUGCUGCAGUUAAAAAGCUCGUAGUUGAAUUUCGGGACUAAUAUGUCGGUCGUGCCUCGGUACGUACUGGCUUAUUGGUUUCUCCUUUCUGAAGAACCAUGAUGUCAUUUAUUUGGUGUCGUGGGGAAUCAGGACUGUUACUUUGAAAAAUUAGAGUGUUUAAAGCAGGCUCACGCUUGAAUACAUUAGCAUGGAAUAAUGAAAUAGGACGUUUGAUUCUAUUUUGUUGGUUUCUAGGAUCGACGUAAUGAUUAAUAGGGAUAGUUGGGGGCAUUAGUAUUCAAUUGUCAGAGGUGAAAUUCUUGGAUUUAUUGAAGACUAACUACUGCGAAAGCAUUUGCCAAGGAUGUUUUCAUUAAUCAAGAACGAAAGUUAGGGGAUCGAAGACGAUCAGAUACCGUCGUAGUCUUAACCAUAAACUAUGCCGACUAGGGAUC